CCUACGUGGGGCUGCAGUGGGGAAUAUUGCACAAUGGGGGAAACCCUGAUGCAGCAACGCCGCGUGAGUGAAGAAGUAUUUCGGUACGUAAAGCUCUAUCAGCAGGGAAGAAGAUGACGGUACCUGAGUAAGAAGCCCCGGCUAACUACGUGCAAGCAGCCGAGGUAAUACGUAGGGGGCAAGCGUUAUCCGGAUUUACUGGGUGUAAAGGGAGCGUAGACGGUUAGACAAGUCUGAAGUGAAAGCUCGGGGCUCAACCCCGGGACUGGUUUGGAAACUGCCUGACUGGAGUGUUGACGAGGUAAGUGGAAGUCCUAGUGUCGCGGUGAAAUGCGUAGAUAUUAGGAGGAACACCAGUGGCGAAGGCGGCUUACUGGACUGUAACUGACGUUGAGGCUCGAAAGCGUGGGGAGCAAACAGGAUUAGAUACCCCAGUAGUC
rnacentral:rRNA from 1 species